AUUCACCUUUACCUUGGAUCCACCUGCAAGAGCCGCUGUAUUUGAGCUGCGAAGACUUCUGAGGCUGCAGCACAGGUCUCAGUCUCAGUCCUGGUGAGCAACGCGGAAAAGGAGACAUUGGACAAAGAAGAAUAUCUGCGAGACAUAAAGGAGCAGAGCUGACGAAAACACCCACAGGCCACCACCUGAGAGAUCACAGAACGGACUUCACCCUGAAGGUAUGGAAGAGCUUCUCAUCACUCUCUUUCUGUCUCAUCACCGUGUUGACUGGCACGCCUGAGGACACGAGACAGCUUGACACAGACACUGGCAGUUUCUCCCCCUGACCGACAAGUUGCCUUCUCAGUUGUGUGGCAGGUCUAAGUGUAUCUUCAGAGGUCGCGACCCUACCAGACUGUGAUCUGGACAAACAGGACUGAGGAGCUGCAACUGGACAUGGAAUGUUCCUUUUGUUUUGUUUUGUUUCACUUUUUUUUUGUUGAAAUGGUGGAAAAUUCCUCCCUCUGCACUUGCUGGGGCAAAAAGACAAAAGUUCUUGGCACAGAAUGAGUCAGAGUUUACAUGUGAAACACUGUGACUGUAACAAAAACUGUGAACGCUUAUGCAUAGCUGUGUUGUAAGUCAGGAUGCGUUAUUCUUUCCUUUGUCUUUGUGAUUGUAGUCUUUACCUGAAACUGAAAACGUGAUUUAUUUCAAGGUCUCUGCUUUUGUUGUGUGAACAACCAUGUUGAUGUCACCCACUUGUCUGUGUUAUCUGUGCAUUCCACAGAAUGUGUUUUUCACUAUGCACCUGGGACAAUGUGGAACCAGUAGUUUUGCUGCUUAAUAAAGAAAAAGCAAACAUGAAUGAUUAAGAAGGUGUCCGCUUGACCACAUUUACAGGGUGUCCGCUCUCCUUCUCCUCUGUGACGCCUCUGCGUGAGGCAGCAGCUGUAGCAGAUUUGGAGGCUCUGCUCUUGUGCGAAGCUGCAGCGCUCCUAGUGGUGAAAAUGCAGAACAGGUGCUACAUUUCUGACAAACCCACCAGACAAGAGGAGACAACUGCUGAUUGAGGGAACUUGUGCACAUAGGUGCUGCUUUGUGUUGCACUGCUUUGCUUUUGUGUGUUGUGUUUUUGCAAUGGCAGUGACACACGUGUUUGUUUGAUGGUGGUGGUGGUGGUGACGGGUGGGGGACUGUCUUGUCUCAUCACACAACAAUACAUGUUCCCGAAUGUGUGUAUGUGCAUCAGGGGAGAAUACUAUCCAAGGUACGGGGCAUUCGCUUUAAUAUCCGGGCUCCGGCUGUAUGUAUUUGACCCUUUUUUUUUAUGUAUGAAACAGUGUGCGUGAUUUGUAAAUGUCACUGGAAAUGGCAUGCCAACAGAGGUUCUGAAGAAGUGUUGUGUUGUGUGACAAUAAAGGACAUACAUAACUGAGAGGCGAGUCGGAAACAAACACAUGAGGGCCAAACAAACCUUGAAUUCUAUCAGGCUCGGGCUGCUUUUGCCUUUCAAGUGAGUUUGAAGGCAGGGAAAGUGGCAGAUAUCUGUUGGUAUCUGACGCCAACGUUGAAAUCUAAAAGUAAAGGCACUGAUUGAUUCAAUGUGCCAGUUUCACAUCAUAAUGUCUGCCAUUCAGAAGAUUUAUUUAUUUAUUUAUGUCCAUGUCAGAGGCAGGUGGUCCUAAUCUUAUGUGGUGGAUAGUGACUUGGGCAUAAAAAGCUAAAUGAACCUAUAUGGCGCACAUCGUGGCAGGGUAGUCGGGGCUGACUGGGUCUAUCCAGACUCUCCACGGUUCCUGCAUUAUAGAGUUCACCAGCGGGUCAAAAGUGUCACCACAUACAUCACAGCUGUAGCAGAACGGCACACACAGUUGCCAUGGUGAUCAGCCAUUUUUUUUUUCCCCCCGCUGUGCUAAGCCAAACAUUAGUGGGUGGGUGCCAAGAUACGAGAAAAAGACAAAACGGAUUGUGUGCCCGGUCCUAUGUAUGCUUAAAACGUGUUGCAAGUUUGUUUAUUUGGCCAGGCGUGUUUUUGGUUGCUGUUUGCGUGUGCCCCCCUUGUUUGACUGGACUAUCUGUGGUCUCAGCUGCACUCAUCGGGAACGCUGUCCAACAAUAGCUAAGGUACCCGCGGUGGGAGCUGCGCUGCGUGAUAAACCAGGCGAAAUGGCGGUGUCAGAAGCUCCAUUGAGCAUAAUCAGGGUGUGCUAGAUGGGCUCGGCUGUUGGGUUUAGGACCAUAAGUCUGGCGAUUAAACAUGCAUGGGGAGAAUCCUUCAUCACGGGGCGAAACAAAGCCGCCCUGCCCUUCCCACGUGUUCCGACAUCGCCAUGGAAAAAGCCUGUUUCCCUGGCAACCAAACUGGCUCUCUUUGU